UACACAUGCAGUCGAGCGGCAGCACGNAGAAACUUGUUUCUCGGGUGGCGAGCGGCGGACGCNGUGAGUAAUGCCUGGGAAUUGCCCUGAUGUGGGGGANAACCAUUGGAAACGAUGGCUAAUACCGCAUGAUAGCUUCGGCUCAAAGAGGGGGACCUUCGGGCCUCUCGCGUCAGGAUAUGCCCAGGUGGGAUUAGCUAGUUGGUGAGGUAAGGGCUCACCAAGGCGACGAUCCCUAGCUGGUCUGAGAGGAUGAUCAGCCACACUGGAACUGAGACACGGUCCAGACUCCUACGGGAGGCAGCAGUGGGGAAUAUUGCACAAUGGGCGCA
rnacentral:rRNA from 1 species